GCCUCCCGCUCUGGGCGGUGCCAGGGCCCUGAGCCUGAGAGCAGAACUGUAGUCCAGGCCUGGAGUCCCCGGGGGUGGGAACCGAGAUUUCCCUCGGCUGGGCCCCACUUUCACUGGGGAGGGCGUGCUUCCGCCUGCCCUGGCCCUGCUCAUUCUCUCCUGAAAGCAUGAUCUGUCUCUGUCCCUCGCUCUCGUUUUUAAGCUUGCAGUUCCUUAGACCUUACAUACCAAGUGCAGCCCAGCUGACCUCCAAUUCAUGAUCCUGUUGGCCUUACCCCAGCGCACCCCAGUAUGACAGUCGGCCUGGCUUCCCCAUCAUCAUCUUGUAAAGAAAAUAAAUGUACGUGCCUGCAACAAAA